rnacentral:rRNA from 1 species
UACAGAGGUCUCAAGCGUUGUUCGGAUUUAUUGGGCGUAAAGGGCGCGUAGGCGGCGGGGUAAGUCGGGUGUGAAAUCUCAGGGCUCAACCCUGAAACUGCACUUGAUACUGCUCUGCUUGAGGACUGGAGAGGAGACUGGAAUUCACGGUGUAGCAGUGAAAUGCGUAGAUAUCGUGAGGAAGACCAGUGGCGAAGGCGGGUCUCUGGACAGUUCCUGACGCUGAGGC